rnacentral:tRNA from 1 species
GCGCGGGUGGCGAAAUUGGUAGACGCACCUGGUUUAGGUCCAGACGCUGCAAGGCGUGCAGGUUCGAUUCCUGUCCCGCGCACCA